rnacentral:misc_RNA from 1 species
GGACACUUCAAGAAGUGGAGUGUGACUGAAAGCUUGACUCACGUGCGUAAUUACAUGAAGGAUUUCGUUGGAAAUAUGUCGUGUUUCUUGUUCUAUUCGAGGGAUGUUGCAGCUUCUGUCGUUGUAGAGAUGAAAAUUGUCUUUAUUUAUUUGACACAUUGGCCGUAAUGCAAAUGAUGAGAUUGUCAAGUAAUGAGUAUGAAGGAUCACCAUUCUAUUGAUUUGGCUGGUGUCGUAGGUG